rnacentral:rRNA from 1 species
GUGGGGAAUUUUGGACAAUGGGCGAAAGCCUGAUCCAGCCAUGCCGCGUGCAGGAUGAAGGCCUUCGGGUUGUAAACUGCUUUUGUACGGAACGAAAAGACUCCUUCUAAUAAAGGGGGUCCAUGACGGUACCGUAAGAAUAAGCACCGGCUAACUACGUGCCAGCAGCCGCGGUAAUACGUAGGGUGCAAGCGUUAAUCGGAAUUACUGGGCGUAAAGCGUGCGCAGGCGGUUAUAUAAGACAGAUGUGAAAUCCCCGGGCUCAACCUGGGAACUGCAUUUGUGACUGUAUAGCUAGAGUACGGUAGAGGUGGAUGGAAUUCCGCGUGUAGCAGUGAAAUGCGUAGAUAUGCGGAGGAACACCGAUGGCGAAGGCAAUCCCCUGGACCUGUACUGACGCUCAUGCACGAAAGCGUGGGGAGCAAACAGGAUUAGAAACCCGGGUAGUCC